rnacentral:rRNA from 1 species
GAUGAACGCUGGCGGCGUGCCUAAUACAUGCAAGUCGAGCGAACGGACGAGAAGCUUGCUUCUCUGAUGUUAGCGGCGGACGGGUGAGUAACACGUGGAUAACCUACCUAUAAGACUGGGAUAACUUCGGGAAACCGGAGCUAAUACCGGAUGAUAUUUUGAACCGCAUGGUUCAAAAGUGAAAGACGGUCUUGCUGUCACUUAUAGAUGGAUCCGCGCUGCAUUAGCUAGUUGGUAGGGUAACGGCUUACCAAGGCAACGAUGCAUAGCCGACCUGAGAGGGUGAUCGGCCACACUGGAACGGAGACACGGUCCAGACUCCUACGGGAGGCAGCAGUAGGGAAUCUUCCGCAAUGGGCGAAAGCCUGACGGAGCAACGCCGCGUGAGUGAUGAAGGUCUUCGGAUCGUAAAACUCUGUUAUUAGGGAAAAACAUAUGUGUAAGUAACUGUGCACAUCUUGACGGUACCUAAUCAGAAAGCCACGGCUAACUACGUG